UACGUAGGGUGCGGGCGUUAAUCGGAAUUACUGGGCGUAAAGCGUGCGUAGGCGGUUCGUUAUGUCUGCUGUGAAAGCCCCGGGCUUAACCUGGGAAUGGCAGUGGAAACUGGCGGGCUUGAGUGUGGCAGAGGGGGGUGGAAUUCCGCGUGUAGCAGUGAAAUGCGUAGAGAUGCGGAGGAACACCGAUGGCGAAGGCGGUUCUCUGGGCCUUACCUGACGCUGAGGAGCGAAAGCGUGGGGAGCGAACAGG
rnacentral:rRNA from 1 species